CAGGAACACCUUCCACUGGACCAGGUUGCUCAGAGCCCCAUCCAACCUGGGCUCGAACACUUCCAGGGAUGGAGAGUCCACACCUCUCUGGGCCAAUUAAUGUUGUUGGAGAGAAAUAGUUAUUUAUUUGCAUCCAUUCCUUUCCCUGCUUUUGCAAAACAGAAGUUGCUUUGAACUUAUGGAAAAACAUCUCAAUGUUUUGAUUCCACAUCAAGAAGCUGCAGUUCCGUACCCUGGAGUCAGGAGACAUGUAUAGGGGUUUUUAUCCCAUUGAAAUUAAAUGUUAAAUUUUUAAAAUAAAUUAUCCUCCAAGAUAUGUAUCUGAAUUCAGGGAAUCAGGGUGUCAUACAAUGUGCAUAAUCAACCCAGUACUCAAGUAGUAACUCAUGCUGUUGGUAUUGCCUCUGUUUAGUAACUCCUCAUUUCCUCAUGACCAAUGAAUGCCAAAGCUUUGCUUGAAUCUGUGUCACUGUCAUAGGGCUGUUGCAUGUGGUGUCCCUUAACUGAGCUGAGUUUGUGACAAGUGUCUGUGCUUUUGUCUUCUUCUGAGAAGAAAUGAGCAACUUUCUCAACUCGGGCCAUAUUGAAAGUAUUGUGAUCAUAUAUAUAUAAAAUUAUAUAAUUAUAAAAUUAUAUAAUUAUAUAUAAAUUUCUUUAUUCUGCAGCCCUUUUGGGGCACACAGCUGCUUCUCUCUGGGAUUCUGCCACUAAUGGCCCCUUCCAAAGUCACACUUGUGUUUGGCACUUGAUUGCUCUGGUUGAAAACUAUCUUGUAGGAUUUGUUGGCAGUUAAAUUGGGUCUUGGGCCGCUGUGUCUUCCCUGACAACUGAUGGAUGUUUUUCUUCCUUCCACCUUCUCUGCAGUGACACAGUUGCUGAGGGAAGGUUGGUAACGGUGCCAGUGCUCAGGGGGCUGUAUUUUUGGAAUGAGCGCUUCGGUGGUUACUGCAUUUAGCAGAGGGAGAUACUUCACGCCGGGAGAGAGGCACGAAUGCCAGGAGAAUGAGUCUGUGCCUCAGCCAGGCUGACUUACAGGGUCUCCUGUGAGCUGUCAGCAAGCUUUUUUCAGAAAACUUGAGUGUAAAUAAUCACCAACCCGUACAAACAGAACAGGUCCCCAGAGUCUGGUGAGACUGAUUUAUAGCUGUGUGUUGUGGUUCCAUGUCAGUGCUGUGUUUGUGAGUCCAGCCCUGCUAUUGUGCAAAGAUUUGCCAGUGAAGUGACUGAAGGCAGGAGGGGCCUCUGGCACUCCAUGAGCUUGAGAACAUCUUGUGCCUCCCUUGGCAGUCGUCAUUUCAGAAAUGUUCACUUUAUGCUGUUGUAUUCUUGCAUAUGUCGGAGUCGUAACUCACUUACUUAAAAUAGAGAACUUCAGGAGUCAUAAUUAAACUCUGUGAGCUCUUUCUAUCCUGUUUUAAGCAACCUUUCUCAUCACCAACUGGCAGAUGGAGUUUAAGUUGAUCCCUCUUCUCCUGGAAGCAACAAGUUAAAAUAUUUGUAAAUGCAAUUGAAUGUUUACAGCUACAGUACAGUAAUUAAAACCUUACUGACACAAAGUGGAGUCCUUGGCAAGAGUCCUUUUCAAUAACUGGAUGCAAACAAUUGUCACCUCGGGUUUGUUUCCUAAGGAUAUGUCUUGGGUGAUCUUUUUACCUGUACAGUGGAGCCUUCCCAUUUCUUUGUGUCUGGUGUGAGCAUCCUUGUUUGAUAAUCUGGAGACAAGUUGCCAGUCAGCCCAGGCCUUGCUCCAGAGUCACAGAGCACUCCAAGCAGACACAGACCCAGUCCCUGUGCACAUCCUGGAGGGGUGAGAUUGCUUCCCCUGUUGGGGUUUUGUGGUAGAAGCAUGAGAGAGAGAGAGGAGGGGAAAAAAUAAACCACUGAAGGAGAAUAACCUUGUUUGACUUUCAGUAGCUGGCUCAGGAACAGAACUUUCAGAAGGGGGGAGGAGUUGAGUGCAUUUAAACGAAAACCAAACAAGGCCUCUACGUGCCUUUGUGCUGGCUUCCCUGUGUCUGUCAAGGAACUGGUGAGACAUCCCCAGUGCCAUGAAGAUUCCUCAGACAAAUCCAGCAUUUAUCAAAUUUAAAAUUCUUCUGAUAGUUUAGUUUCUUCAUCUUUUACUUGCUUCAUGAGAGCCUAGGAAAAUGCUUAUUAUUUAAGAUUUCCUUCCAUGAUAAACAAUUGUAUGUAAGUGUUUAGAAUUUUGCUGCAUGUCAGCCUAAGGAGGAAAAGCUGCUGAAGAGGGAGCAGGUUUUGCUGCAGGUACUAAUCUUUGGAAAUGUAGCUCUUCUGGUUACUUUUGCCCUUGUGUGGAGAAGAAUCAAAACUAGGUGCAUAGCACACAUCGGGGUUUGUGGCACAGAAAUCAGAUACUGUGUUGUCUUUCAAGCUGGUUUAAAUAAAGCUGGCACUGAAAUCCCUGCGAGAAGCUUCCUGCUAAAAAUACAUCAACAUCCUUUCAUUUCAAAGUGCAUUCACUUCAGCAGUCGGUUUCGAUUUUGGAGAUUCCUGGCAGAUUCCUGAGGGAAAGGCACUAAUGGGUUUGGUGAUGUUGAUGGAACUCAGGAUUCCAGAGCUUUACUGCAGUUUUAUUUGUCUCUUGAUGGUGGUUUCUUGUUUGUCAAAGCACAGCCUUGUCUAAUGCGUUGAUGUUCCUACUCAAGCCGAGUGUCUGCAGUUUUCUAGAGAAGAAAACUCUCAUUUUGUUAUUGUAAAUAAUGUUUUGCUAUUGUAAAUUUUAUUGCUAAUUUUAUUUUUUUUAAAAAAUUGGAAACAUGGAUUUACCUUCCAUUACAGGGAGUCUGUUUGUCAGGUAGACCUUCUUACCAGUCUUUUUCCUGACAGUGAGGAGGUCACUCAUUGCUUUGAUUGUGCCUGUAAUCAUGGUUGUGCUCUUGCUUAAAUUACUCCUUUUCAGAGUCUCUGCUGUUUCAAAGGCCAGUGCAGUUACUUUGCCUGCAUGUAAUUCCACAUUAUGUUGUCAGCAUGGUUAUACAGCUUUGCAAAUUUUCAAGAGCUGAUGGGCAUUAGCUACAGUUCAUUAUCCAAAGUAAACAGCUCGUUAGUGUCUUCUUCUAUAGAAGACAAAAAUAGACCCAAAAGUGAGUGUAUCCCCUUACUCGGCCUUAGUUGUUAUUCUGUGUCGCUGCCUGUGUUCAUUCCCCCAGCACUCCUUUUUGAGGAUACACUUGUCCUCUGGGCUCCUUUCGUUUACACAGUCGUUAUCUGUAAAUGGCUCUCGCUGAUGGUGUAGCAGUGGUUUCCCAAUCCUCACCAGCUUCUGUGCAGCAGUAACAAGUGAGUGAUGUGCUGUUGGCAACAAUGUACUUCACUCUCCUUCAGUGGUUUCAGUCUUAAUUUAAUUUCCUCAGGCAGCACGUUAUUCCUGCAGGGAAGACUGCAGCACCAUUAGCUUCGGAUGUUUCUCCUCCAGCUCUAGAGACAGAUGGUGCCUUCCCUACCCUGCUGUGAACAGGAAGGAUUUCUCUGCUUUGUUGUUGAAGACACAUGGGCUCCUCUUGGAGCUGCUGGAAAUGCCCCUGUGGAGCUAUUUCCACAGCACCAGUGACUGUUCCCAUCUGACAGCACACCCUGUUGUCUUCCCGGGACACGUUUUGAGACGCGGCAGCAGCAGCCCAGCAUUUCCCUUUGCAGGGCCUGAUCUGUUUCCAGGUGGUUGCCAUGUGAGGGUACUGGACCCACUCUCCCGUCUCAGGGGCUCCAUCGGCUGCGAUCCCUGGUGGAAUGAACCGAUUCCCUGAGAGCCCCAUCUGUCCCUGGAGCUCUGAAACAGCAACACACGUUUACUGCAGUUUCAAGUUUCUCCUCUAGAGAGAACAGGGUCGUUUAAGCAUUUUCUGAUCCAGACAAGUGCAAACACCUCGAGAAGAUCAUGUACCAAGCCUACAGCGACUGGGAGUGACGCUCCCGAAAGCGAUCUCGGCAGGGCUCCCAUUUCCUGCUGCCAGCAUGGCUCGUUUGAGAUAUCGGUGCCACGGCAAGUGCUGGGUAAACACGAGGAUUGUUUCUGCUGGAUGAUCUCAAAGCCCUCCCAACUGUCUGCUGAAAAUACUUGUCCAUUGCAAGGAAAUGACUGUUUGUUUGUGUUAGGAGUCAGGAAUGGGAAAUGACGUGAACACUUAACUGUUUUUCCUGCUGUUUCUAGGAGGCAUAUUCGCUGUCUUGGGUCUUAUUUCCAAAGGCAUUCAGUGUUUUCUGAGCCCCUGUUAAGUAAGUGUUAGAGGUGUAUGCAUGCACAUAUAUAUAUAUAUAUGUAUAUAUAUAUAUAUACACAUAUAUAAAAUCAGGAAAUAUCUUAGAAAUCUUAUGUAUCCACCUGGUAAAUUUUUACUAGUGCCCAUCUGUGACCAUGAUGUAAUAUGAUUUGAUAUAUUCCCCCUCACAGUGCUGAACUCAAACUGUCUUCGGAUCUCGUUUUCCCAACACUGUUGAUAAAUCAGUGACUCCGCAGUGUGCUGCAACCUCCCUGAAGUAGAAAGAAGUCAGAAUUCACACUUGUCAUCCUUAUUUCGCCCAGGCACCAGUUUUAUCUGCUGAGUUACACUGUGCAUUUAAUCUUUUUUUAUCUAUGUAUUGCUCCUUGUUUGCCCUUGACAAAGUAGUCGUCCAAUGUUUUAGUCUAUUUGGUUGAUGAUUACUUUUUGUUACUGAUUUCUUUGGUCAAAGUGUUUUUCUAAACCAAUCGUUUCUCUUUAGAUUCCUUGAAAACAAACACUGGCAGUCUGGGUCCAUGUCCUGUGAUCUCCCUUCCCCAGGCACCUGCUGUCCUGCAGGACUGAGGCAGCUGCAAGUGUCAGACUUGGUUACAGUGACUCUGAGCUCCUGUAGGUGAAAUUGUCUCUUCUGUACUUCUCCAAGUGCCUGGCAGAACAUGAUCCUGGCCCAUGACUGGAAUGCCCAGAUAUGGGGGGAAAAAAGCGGGUUUGUGUUGGGCUUUUUUAAUCAGCUUGGGCACAAUUAAAUGUUUAGCCUGGCUUUUGGGUGCUAAGAUAAGGUACCACACGACAGUUUUAUCUCCCCAACUUCUGUUCAAUUCCCUCACCCUUCCCCAAGCAACAGCAGGUUAAACUACCUUGUGAAAAUCAGAAUUAACAGUGGAGGUACUGAAGAACAGUGAAGCUACAAGAAUACAGCCCUGCAGUGGCAGGAAAAUAGACCCAACCAUGAGCUCUGUUGGAGACAAGAGCUGUGCCUGCAGCAGGCUCUGGGACUUGACUACUCAGCCAGUUAAGAACAAUUUUGGGGUCUUUUUUAGUGAAUGUUAAUGAUUGACUUUAUCAUCUGAUACUGAUUGAUGACACAACCUCAGUUCUUCCGAGAAUCAAACUAAAGUAACAUUUUAUUGCCCUUUAAAGACUUACUGAUAUAAGUAAAAAUGUAGUGAAUAACAACUUGAA